GACGAACGCUGGCGGCGUGCUUAACACAUGCAAGUCGAACGAGUGGCGGACGGGUGAGUAACGCGUGUCAACUGGCCCUUCGAGGGGGGACAAGAGUUGGAAACGACUGCAAAUACGCCAUAGGAAUGGGGAGCUUGCGUGGGAUUGGCGAGUUGGUGGGGUAACGGCCCACCAAGGCGACGAUCAGUAGCUGGUCUGAGAGGAUGAUCAGCCACACGGGGACGGAGACACGGCCCAGACUCCUACGGGAGGCAGCAGUGGGGAAUAUUGGACAAUGGGCGAAAGCCUGACCCAGCCAUGCCGCGUGUGUGAAGAAGGUCUUCGGAUUGUAAAGCACUUUAGGUGGGGAGGCGUUACCAACAGAAGAAGCACCGGCUAACUUCGUGCCAGCAGCCGCGGUAAUUC
rnacentral:rRNA from 1 species